GAAGAUCAUAUGGAGCGUUGAUUGGUGUUGACUUUUCCAAAGCUUUUUGACUCUAUAAAACAUAAAGCUCUAUUGUAUAUUGGGACAUGACUGUCACGGUAGGCAAUCUUGAAGGAAUGGGGAUCAAAAUAAAGAGAAGUUGUCGUCAUAGUGGCCCCGUGUCACCGCUACUCUUCAUUGCUGCUCUGAACGAGCUUACGAAAAUAAUCCAACGUAAAUACAGGGGGUUUGGAGGAAGUUUUGGACAACAGAAGCAUGUCAUCGACCUUUAUACUGAUGAUAUUACUUUAAUGAUUGAAGCAAACUCAGAAAAACAAUUAAAAAAGAGGAUUGAAAUUAUAUUGAAUUAUUUUGAUAUUUUUGAGGUAAGAACUGAUCUCAUAAUAAUCAAUAAAAAUAAUUCUAUUCUUUUGUGUGGUUCGUGCAGGCAGUCGGAAAAAUUACAUGUAGGGGCAGUUUCACUAAUGAAAAAGCUGUAAUACUUGGAUUA
rnacentral:lncRNA from 1 species